UUGGGUAGACUGUUGCUGGCUUCUUUUUGUGAAGGAGCAUGUGCACGUCUGUCCUCUUUAUCUUUCCACCUGUGCACCUUUUGUAGGCUUGGACUAUCAUUGGUUCUAAUGUGUCUUUCAAAGGCAUAAGAAUUGUUUUGGGAUUGCUGUGUUUAAACGCAUGUUUAUCGGCUUUCCCUUUUAUUUUCCAGGUCUAUGUUUGAUACAUACACUCCAAAAAUAUAAUAGAAUGAUGUACUUUAGGUCAUUAGUACCUAUAUUAAAAUCAGUACAACUUUCAGCAACGGAUCUCUUGGCUCUCGCAUCGAUGAAGAACGCAGCGAAAUGCGAUAAGUAAUGUGAAUUGCAGAAUUCAGUGAAUCAUCGAAUCUUUGAACGCAUCUUGCGCUCCUUGGUAUUCCAAGGAGCAUGCCUGUUUGAGUAUCAUUAAAUUAUCAACUGUGCCAAUUUGGUUACAGAUUGGAUGUGGGAGAUUUUUGCGGGCUCUUUUAUAUAUAUAUAUAAAGUCUGCUCUCCUGAAAUGUAUUAGCAGUGCCUGUGUUGGUUCAUGAGGUGUGAUAAUAUAUCUACAUCUUCACAUGUUACCUUCAUUUGUAAAGGUCAUAUUGCUUCUAAUCGUCUUUGGACAAAAACACAAACUUGAUCUCAAAUCAGGCAGGACUACCCGCUGAACUUAAGCAUAUCAAUA
rnacentral:rRNA from 1 species